UACAGAGGGGGCAAGCGUUGUUCGGAAUUACUGGGCGUAAAGGGCGCGUAGGCGGCCUGCUAAGUCGAACGUGAAAUCCCCGGGCUCAACCCGGGAACUGCGUCCGAUACUGGCAGGCUUGAAUUCGGGAGAGGGAUGCGGAAUUCCAGGUGUAGCGGUGAAAUGCGUAGAUAUCAGGAGGAACACCAAUGGCGAAGGCAGCUCGCUGGAACGGUACUGACGCUGAGGCGCGAAAGCGUGGGGAGCGAACAGG
rnacentral:rRNA from 1 species